rnacentral:lncRNA from 1 species
GCUUUGCAGUUAAAUUUUGGUUGACAACAUAUGGUAUUUUACUAAAGGCACAUUGACAAAAAUGAUUGAAAUGAGUGUGAUGUAAUUUUAACAACUUCUUUAUAUAUCAUGUAUAUAUAUCAUUAUGAAAAUUAAAUCAGAAAAAAAAUAGUCUUCUUUUACAUCUGUUUUUUCAUGCUUAUACUAUAUUAUAGUUCUAAUCGUCUGGGUGAUUUUACUUUUAGUUUUCAAUAUGUUCAAAAGAAU